rnacentral:rRNA from 1 species
AUGCUUCAUAAAUGCCUUGAAGAGCUAUUUGCUAGUAGGAGCAUCCUUGUUGUUGUAGAUGAUCUGUGGGAAGAGAACCCAAAAGAGUUUCAUAAAUUGAAGGUUAUGCUAGGGCUUGGCCUGGGAAGCAAGGUGAUUAUAGUAACUACACGUGAUGGAGGCCUCGCAAGGAAAAUUUGUAGUCCUGCAGUUACACCAUAUAAGCUGGAGACUUUGAGAGUUGAUGAGUGCUGGACUAUAAUUAAACAAAAAGCUGACUUUGAAGGCCGAGUCGACCAAGAACAAUUGGAGCAUAUAGGAAGGGAGAUUGCGACCAAGUGUGGAGGAGUCCCCUUAGCGGCUCAAUCACUUGGAUACAUGUUGAACGGUAUGACUUCAGAUGAUUGGGAGUCGGUGAGAGAUAGUUAUAUCUGGAAUCUAUCAACUUCGGAGGGCCACGAAGUGCUUGCAUCCUUACUGUUAAGCUAUAGCCAGAUGUCUGCUUGGUUGAAGUUGUGCUUUUCCUAUUGUGCAAUCUUUCCAAAAGGUUACAUAAUAGUGAAGUAUGAUCUAAUUUACCAAUGGAUUGCUCUUGGGUUCAUCAAGCAAUCUAGGAUAUUUGAUUUUAUGCAGCUCUCAGAGAAUUAUGUCACACAACUUUUGGGGAUGUCCUUUCUUCAAUAUUCAAAGAGACCUUUGAGGGGUAGAAAUCAAGAGAAAGAUGGUACAUUGUUCACAAUGCAUGACCUAGUGCAUGAUCUCGCAAAAGAGAUCCUGUCCCAUCAACUAAACACUGGAGGAAAUAAGUGCCGCUAUGCAUUGCUCACAGAUUGUAGCAAGUCAUUGCAGUUGUUCGUGAAUUUUCCUGCAAAUAUAAAGGCGCUACGUUUUCAGGACUGUGGCGGACAAGAACUUUGUGGUAGUGCAUUUUCGUCAGCGAAGUGCCUCUCUGUCUUGGAUUUAAGUGAAUGCUUUAUUAAUGAGCUGCCUGAUUGUAUUGGUCAGUUGAAGCAACUACGGUUUCUUCGUGCUCCAGACAUACGUUUGGAGAUUCCCAAUUGUAUCACUGAGCUCUCAGAAUUAAAUUACCUCAACCUUAGAGGCUCUUCUGAAAUCUCAGCGCUGCCGGUGUCAAUUGGUGAUAUGAAAGGUUUGAUGCAUCUUGAUUUAUCAGGUUGCAAUAGAAUAAGUAAACUCCCAAUAUCAUUUUCAGAGCUCAAGCAGCUGGUGCAUCUGGAUUUAUCAAAUUGCAAUAUGUUUUUGGCAGAAACUUUGGGUGGUUGCACCAAACUUCAGUAUCUGAAUUUAUCAGUUCUAAAUUCUACGGGCCAUAAGCGCAUCACAGGGCUGCCAGAGGUCAUUGGCAAUCUAAUUAAACUUAGGUAUUUAAAUCUAUCGCGGUGCGUGGACCUCAUGGGGCCUUGGCCUCCUGAGGCGGAGGAAAUUCACAAGUUGCUUUGUUCUAUCAGUACCCUUUCAAACCUAGAGCAUCUGGACUUGUCCAGAAAUAAUCAGAUUUCCAGUAUACCAGAAAGUAUUGGAAAGCUCACGAAGCUUCAUACAUUGGACCUCUCAAUCUGCUGUAACAUAAAGAAGCUUCCUGAUAGUAUCUUCAAAAUGGUUCGUCUGAAGGUUCUGUCAUGGAUAUAUUGGCCUAAUAGAUUGUCUGAAUCCGCGCUCCCUCGGUUUAAUUUUGUAUCAUUGCCUCACUUUGAGGUGCAGUCUUCAAAUGAUAAAUGUAGCAGUAAUAUCAGCCUGCUACAGCCUACAAAUCCUGAUCAGCUGGACAUAGGUAAACUUGAAAAUGUGAAGUCUGCAGAAGAGGCAACAAGUGUAAAACUCAUAGACAAACAAGCAAUCAGGACUCUAAAAUUUCAAUGGACCCUAGGUGCUGAGAGGUUUGUUGAUGACAAGGUUGUGUUGGAAAAGCUAGUGCCACCAAGCAGUGUAGAGAUAUUGACUAUAGUUGGUUACAGGAGUCACAACAUUCCUGAUUGGUUUAUGGGUAUUAGGCAGUAUCUCCCUAAUCUUUUGGCGUUAACUCUAUGUGAUUUUCCUAACUGCAAUAACCUACUACCACCACUUGGUCUACUACCAAACUUACUAAACCUGAUUCUCGACCGUAUGGAGGGCUUGGAAGAGUGGAACACAACACAUUACAGUGGCAAGGAAGGUUCAAAUGAACCCAUGUUUCCUAAGCUUGAAGAAUUGAAGAUAAAGCAAUGCCCCAAGCUAAGGAUAAGUCUGCCUAGAGCUAGACGCUUGUGGAUACAAGAUUCUGAUAAUAUUCUAUCAUCAUGGGGAGAGGGCUCAACACAUAUCGGUGAUUCCUUCUCUUCUCUAAUGCAUAUCAUCAAGGGGAGAGAACUGCUUGUUUCUGGCAGCAAGGUGCCCAUGCAUCAAUGGAGGUUGCUUUACCACCUCCCUGCCUUCCGUACUUUAAAGAUCAUGGAUUGCACUGAUUUGAGCACCUCACCUGACAUGACCCAACACCUCUCCUCCAUUGACUUACAAUGCCUCAGAUUAUCGUCACUCGACCAGGCAGAACUCCCUAAUUGGUUGGCUAAGCUGACUUCACUACAUGAACUAACUCUGGAUAGGUGCGAAAGCAUGACAUCACUACCGCAGUGGUUAGGAGAAGUUACCUCUUUGAAGAAAAUGGAGGUCAUAUUCUGCCCCAAAUUAGAGAAGUGGUUGAAAUCAAAGGAGAACAAGAGGUUUAUUGCUCACAUAGACAUUACGGUCACGAGAUCACCAUAUCAAUUAUUAUUUUUGGGGGAAGCUUCAGACGAGUCAAAUGAAGAGGACAUAGCAGAGACCAAUGAGGAGACAACCUACAGCCUACAUACUGCAACCGGUUCACAGAGGCCAAUAGAUGACGGUGUCAGCAACCCGAGCUCCCCGCCACCCACCCGGAUGGCGGACACAAUUCCGCAGUCCCGAGCUGCCGCCCUUACCCCGGAGACGCCGCGCCAUCUGCAUCCCUCCCCUGCGGCGCACAACACGAUGCCGUCUACAAAUAUCGCAGCCACCAUGGUGGCACCCAUCAGUGACGACGAUGCCGACAACAUGUCCAUCAUCUGCAUCGGCGACGAUGACAAACUGACUGUCAGCGCGACGGCCAGGCCUGCCCGCCCCACUCCAUGCACCCCGCUCGGCCUCCUUAUGGUAUCGCCCCUAGCCACUUCCCUGGUCGGCGACGGAGCUGAAGGCGUCCUCCCCAGGCCAGGCUACACCCUCACUAACGCCACCUACAACGCCGAUGACGAAGGGCCCCAGCUGGACUCUUCCUCCGGCAGCUGGGCCAGCUUGCAGCGGGCAAGGAAGGGGAAGGGAAAGCAGAGUGAUACGGAUCUCGUCGACCCCGUGGACGUGCCGAUCAUCAGCAAGAAGAUGAGGAGCCUGCUAGAGCUGCAAGAGUUGGAUGUAGAGGCAGGAAGCACGGGGACCGCAGUCAGUGCAAGUUCUCCAGCCGUGUUGAGCUUGGGUCUCAAUGCCGCGGUCAGCGCAAGUGUGAAGCCCCGUUGCUACCGGAGAUCACCGGAGCGCGAGCAGGAGGAUGAUGCCGCUUGUGGAGAGCGGCCACCGGAGCAAACAAAGGAUCCAGAAAAGAGGAACAACAGCGGGACAGAGGAAGAAGGAGACAGGUUCAGUUUCAGAUUUCUGUUGGAUGCCUUCCUUGCUGUGGUUGCUUGCUUUUGUAGUCCCCAAAGCAGACACUAG